rnacentral:rRNA from 1 species
GACGAACGCUGGCGGCGUGCCUAAUACAUGCAAGUCGAACGCAGUGGGGACGGGUGAGUAACAAGUGGGUAACCUCCCAUCAGAGGGGAUAACACUUGGAAACAGGUGCUAAACCGAUACUGAUGGAUGGACCCGCGGUGCAUUAGCUAGUUGGUGAGGUAACGGCUCACCAAGGCCACGAUGCAUAGCCGGCCUGAGAGGAUGAUCGGCCACGCUGGAACUGAGCAACGGCCCAGACUCCUACGGGAGGCAGCAGUGGGGAAUCUUCGGAAAUGGACGAAAGUCUGACGGAGCAACGCCGCGUGGGUGAAGAAGGUUUUCGGAUCGUAAAACUCUGUUGUUAGGGAGGCGGUAUCUGACCAAAAAGCCACGGCUAACUACGUGCCAGCAGCCGCGGUAAUAC